UCACAGACAUUAAUUUAUAUACCUUACCUCAUAUGGAUACUAUAUAUUUUAGUGUAAUGAGCCAUCAAUUAUCGGUUGAGAGGGAAAGUGUGAGUGCCCCAAAACCAAAAUUACAUGGUAAUAGGAUAGUAAAUAUACAAUUUUUUUCUGAAUGUUUAUUAAAGAUUCAAUAUGAGCAUUUAAAAAAAUGUACGUUUGGAAAACUAACUGUAGAUAACGAAAAGCGCGAUGGAUUGUCGACUGAUGUCAUAUUAACCUGUGAGGCAUGUAACAAAAAAUUCGUGUGUUCCACAUUCAAAAAAGAACCACUAUCACUGAAUGUGUCGUUGGUAUGGGGUACUAUUGUGAAUGGGGGUACUUAUACACAAACCGACCACUUAUUAUCCACAUUAGAAGUCCCCAUGUUAACGAAGUAUACAUUUUGUAAAAUACAACGAAAAUUAAGUGCUUCAUGGGAGGAACAGCUGUGGUUGUCAAUGGAGGCAGCAGGUAGAGAGGAAUGUCGGUUAGCCAUGGAAGCAGGUGUCGUUGAUGUGGAAGGAACUCCAUGGAUAACUGUAUACUGCGAUGGUGGCUGGAGCAAAAGAUCGUAUGGCCAUAACUGUAACGCAGCAUCUGGUGUGGGUGUCAUUAUUGGCAAGCGCACUGGCCAAUUACUGUUUUUAGGGGGACGAAAACACCUUACCACAGUCAUUAUAAAAGAACUUCAAAGGAGUGCUCAGAAGGCCAUGUACAAUUGUAAGGGGGAUGUGGUACGGCUUCAACAAGAGAUGUCGAACUCUAUCAAUCAUGUUUUUAAAGACCACGUGUUGUGUUCUGAAUCAUGUAAUGAUAGAGGUAAAGUAAAUCCUGACGUAAUUAAUCAUUUGAGGUCAACAGGAAUUUUAUACCAUAUUAGGGGUGCAAUGGAAAAUUUAUUGAAAAAAUGUCAUAAAUUGGUGAAUAAUGAAACCAAUAACAAAGCCGAACUAUACAUGUCCCUGUUAGCAAAGCUUAACUGUGGGAAAAGAUUAAAUUUAAUACAGAGAGGAUCUUUUCAAUCGCUGGCACACAUUGCAGCUGUAGGUUAUAACACAGGUUAUAGAUGGCAAACGCAUUGUCUACAGAAGGCUGGUGGUGGUAAGGUUGGCUAUCGGUUUCUUCAAUAUAUUGAUAAAUAUGAGAAGAUUAGAUGCCGGAAACCGUCAAUGAAAAGAAUGCCACCAGUUUCUUCUAAGUGUAAAAAUAAGGAUUACGGUCCAAAUGUUUUACAAGGAAAGCUUUCUUCGGCAGAGAUAGCUUCGGAAUCUGAAAGAAUCUUAGUUUCGUUGCAGGUCUCGUAUAGUUAAUUAAUUUUUUUUUUCAGAUAGUACUAGUUUUAUUAAAGAGUUAUUUUGUAGUGUAGAUUUUAUUUAGUAAGUAGUAUGUGUAUUGUUAAGUAUCGUUUUAUUAAGUCAACAGGUACUCGUCUUGAAUUGAUAAUCAAUAAAGGUAUGUGUCAUAAUGGUAUUGUAUUGUUAUACAGUAUUUUCAUAUGUUGAUAUGUGACUAACUUAAUUUUUUUAAUAGGAACUAAUACCUUAACCACUCUUUUGUACAAGUAGCGCUAAAUAGUAUUAUUACAACUGUAACACAAGAACAACGUUGUGCAAUCGCAAAGCAGACUAUUGGGCAAUAUAACUCACAAAUCUAUAUGCAUGAAAAGAAACGGCGCUUAACAGCUU